GAAAAUAUGGAAUGCCUUACGAUUUUGCGUGUCAUUCGUGCGCAGGGGCCAUUCUAAUCUUCUCUGUAUCGUUCCAGUCUUGGUACCACCGACGCGAGUAC
rnacentral:snRNA from 1 species